CAGCGUUGGAAAGUGGACGAGGGGCAGAGGUCACAGCUGCAGCUGUGUGUACGCACAGCAAGGACGGACCCACUGUUUGCGGGUGUUUGAAGAGGGGACGGGGCUAAAUUGCGGGCAAGCUUCUCACACUGGCUAAUGCCACACAGCUGAAUCCAGCAGAGGAAGGAGGGUGAGCACAUAUCACUCCAGAUGACAGGUUUAUAAGACCCCACAGUGAUCCAUAACCCGCAACAGUAGGGGGGAACAGGAUUUGCACAAACCGGGGAUAGACAAGCCUGUGAUUCUACCGAUCUGUCCAGCCUCAUUCUUGCCGCGUUCGCAUGUGCGCAAAGCAUCGUGUCAGCGCCUAUUUGCACCCAGCCGCGGCUGUGAACGUAAAAUGCAUUCUCUAUGGGGCUCAGCGCGUGUGCCCAUUUGAGGGCACACUCUUCGCCAUCGCAUUGCCGAGAAUAGCUGCAACUGUGGUGAGGAUAAGGAAGAACACAUCUAUAAAAUAAACCCGGACGGACGUGGAACAGAGAGGAUGGACAGGAGUCUGUUCGGCUGUACGGUGACAAUUGCAGAACGGACUGCAUAUAUUCUACGCAUCUCCGGCUAAUUUGGUGACACUAUUCCAAAAUGUUAAAAAGUGCCCCUUAAAACCCAACAAUCCGCUGCUUUCACUAUACACAACAGUGCACCCCUUCGCCCCCGAACAAGCCCCCACAACCGAUCUGGGAGGAGGAAAAACCUGGGCAGCCAGUGAUUGGAGGCUCUUAUUAUUUCAGUGUACGAGGUAAUGGGUGCCACACGUACAAAAUAUGUAACAAACACUUGUGGUGACUUAACCCCCCCCCCCCCCCUCAGCUCCAGGCACGAUAGGAGCAGCGGGGGUCACACAUCACUGCGCUAGGAGCCGGGUUAUCAGCCACCAGAUGUGCACUCUCUCUGACACCAAUCACACAAUGAAUAAUGUACAGAUUGCCUGAGGAUGUUGUCACAAACAUCAGCCGCACUCAAUUUCACUCUAUAAAAACUUAUGAUUGGCAGAUGGAAAUGAGCCAAAUGUAUGUGAAAUCGUUACAAAACACCCAUCGCUUGACCCCCACGUCGCUGAAGAAAGGACGGGAAGAGAUUGUCAGAAAGCGGAGACUUUCUAUGGCGGAAAUCGACCUUUCGCUCAGUCUGUGAGCUGCAAACUCUCAGAGCUCCCCUCAGAUUCACUAUUGAACUCCCUCAUUCCGAAAACCUCUCGCAUUGUACAGUACGGAGCCAUCUUUUUAAUAAGCCUCCUGAUAAACUGUUAUGGCAAAUAUUUUUAGUUGCGACUUACAGCCGUAGCAGCCGCCAUUAAACAGUGGACAGCAACGCCGCCUCCGGCCACGGAACAUUGCAG